rnacentral:rRNA from 1 species
GACGAACGCUGGCGGCGUGCUUAACACAUGCAAGUCGAACGGAAAGGCCCUGCUUUUGUGGGGUGCUCGAGUGGCGAACGGGUGAGUAACACGUGAGUAACCUGCCCUUGACUUUGGGAUAACUUCAGGAAACUGGGGCUAAUACCGGAUAGGAGCUCCUGCUGCAUGGUGGGGGUUGGAAAGUUUCGGCGGUUGGGGUUGGACUCGCGGCUUAUCAGCUUGUUGGUGGGGUAGUGGCUUACCAAGGCUUUGACGGGUAGCCGGCAUGAGAGGGUGACCGGCCACAAUGGGACUGAGAGACGGCGCAGACGCCUACGGGAGGCAGCAGUGGGGAAUAUUGCACAAUGGUCGCAAGCCUGAUGCAGAAACGCUGCGGGCGGGAUGACGGUCUUCGGGUUGUAAACCGCUUUCGCCUGUGACGAAGCGUGAGUGACGGUAAUGGGUAAAGAAGCACCGGCUAACUACGUG